rnacentral:tRNA from 1 species
GCCCCUGUAGUUCAGUGGAUAGAACAAGACACUCCUAACGUCUAGACAUAAGUUCGAUUCUUGUCAGGGGCACAA